GAUGAACGCUGGCGGCGUGCCUAAUACAUGCAAGUCGAGCGAAUGGAUUAAGAGCUUGCUCUUAUGAAGUUAGCGGCAGACGGGUGAGUAACACGUGGGUAACCUGCCCAUAAGACUGGGAUAACUCCGGGAAACCGGGGCUAAUACCGGAUAACAUUUUGAACCGCAUGGUUCGAAAUUGAAAGGCGGCUUCGGCUGUCACUUAUGGAUGGACCCGCGUCGCAUUAGCUAGUUGGUGAGGUAACGGCUCACCAAGGCAACGAUGCGUAGCCGUCCUGAGAGGGUGAUCGGCCACACUGGGACUGGGACACAGCCAAGACUCCUACGGGAGGCAGCAGUAGGGAAGCUUCCGCAAUGGACGAAAGUCUGACGGAGCAACGCCGCGUGAGUGAUGAAGGCUUUCGGGUCGUAAAACUCUGUUGUUAGGGAAGAACAAGUGCUAGUUGAAUAAGCUGGCACCUUGACGGUACCUAACCAGAAAGCCACGGCUAACUACGUGCCAGCCGCCGCUGUAA
rnacentral:rRNA from 1 species